GCCCUUAGAGUUUGAUCAUGGCUCAGGACGAACGCUGGCGGCGGGCCUAACACAUGCAAGUCACACGAGAAAGCGCCUUCGGGCGUGAGUACAGUGGCGGACGGGUGAGUAACGCGUAUGCAACCUACCCUUGAGCGGGGGACAAUCACGGGAAACCGUGGCUAAUACCGCAUAAAAUCUCGGUUGCGCCUGCAACCGAGAUCAAAGCCUUCGGGCGCUCUUGGAUGGGCAUGCGUCGGAUUAGCUUGUUGGUGAGGUAGAAGCUCACCAAGGCAACGAUCCGUAGCUGGUCUGAGAGGAUGAUCAGCCACACUGGCACUGAGACACGGGCCAGACUCCUACGGGAGGCAGCAGUGGGGAAUCUUGCACAAUGGAGGAAACUCUGAUGCAGCCACGCCGCGUGGAGGAAGACACCCCUAUGGGGCGUAAACUCCUUUUCUGCCGGAAGAAAACCCUGGUCUCCAGGGCGUGACGGUACGGCAGGAAUAAGCACCGGCUAACUCCGUGCCAGCAGCCGCGGUAAUACGGAGGGUGCAAGCGUUGUCCGGAAUUACUGGGUGUAAAGGGUGCGCAGGCGGGGCAGCAAGUCAGAGGUGAAAGCCCACGGCUUAACCGUGGAAGUGCCUUUGAAACUGCUGUUCUUGAGUCCCGGACGGUACUGACCUCAGCACA
rnacentral:rRNA from 1 species